CUUCAAAGUUCAAAAGUCUCCUGUAUUUCAAUAGUCAUAGGGAGAUUGACAGAGAAACAUGGCAGAUUCAAAGGUGGAGACGAUUUCAAGACUAGCCCAGUGGAGGAUCGAGAAUUUUGGCCCUUGCUCUUACAAAAAGUCCGAUCCUUUCAAGGUCGGCAUCUGGAGCUGGCACUUGUCUGUGGAGAAGAAUCGGUACCUGUAUGUUCGUUUGUUUCCAGAGCCAUCUCGAGCUUCCAAAGAGCAACCUCCUAUUGCUAGAUUUGUUCUUCGUGUCUCUAAUGCUGUAGCUAACCGCAGGCCCUAUAUCUCUCCUGUUCAUGAGAGAUUGCUUCGGACAUGUGAUGACUUUGUCUGGCCUGUCGAUUCCACCUUUCAUGGCCGCUUCAUUAUUGAUGUCGAGUUUCUAGACCUCAAGAUCUGCCCUCUGAAUGGUGGGGAAGCCAGUUCUAUAUGGCCUAGUGAUGGUAUGAUGCAGUCUGUUUCAACCCAAAGCACGCUUCGAUGUCUUUCUCGCAUGCUGGAUGAGGCCAUCCAUGCUGAUGUUACCAUCCACACUGCUGAUGGCACUCUAAGAGCACAUAAAGCAAUUCUUUCGGCAAGUUCACCUGUUUUCCAAAGCAUGUUCCAUCAUGACCUCAAAGAAAAGGAGUCCUCUACAAUCUACAUAGAAGACAUGUCAAUGGAGUCUUGCAUGGCCCUUCUAAGUUACUUGUAUGGAACCAUUAAACAAGAGGAUUUCUGGAAGCACCGGUUAGCUUUGCUUGGGGCUGCAAACAAAUAUGAUAUUGCCGACCUUAAAAAUGCUUGUGAAGAGAGCCUUUUGGAAGACAUCAAUUCUGGAAAUGUCCUCGAGAGGCUGCAAGAGGCCUGGCUUUACCAGUUAGACAAGCUGAAGAAAGGAUGCUUGACAUACUUAUUUGAUUUUGGCAAGAUAUAUGAUGUUAGAGAAGAAAUCAACAACUUUUUCAGGCAAGCAGACAGGGAAUUGAUGCUGGAAAUGUUUCAAGAGGUGCUGACAGUUUGGAAACCUGUGUAAUUUACCUUGUGAAGUCAGCUUUGUGGAAAUGCUUACUAUUGGUUGUGUAUAAUGUAAUUUUUUUUCUCUGUUCCUGGUCAGGUAUUCCCAGGCUUUACAUUAUGUCACUAAGAAGUGGUAUUCAGGGUGUGAAGGAUCAUUUAUGCUGUAGUAAGUAGUAAAAAAUGGAGAACUGUGUUUUGGGUUUAAUCUAAAAAGAUCAAGUACUAUAAUUAUUGUUGCCAAUCCGAAGACAUGAUUGCUCAAUAUCCUUCUACUAAUUGAAGAAAAACGUAUAAAAG
rnacentral:misc_RNA from 1 species